rnacentral:misc_RNA from 1 species
AUGAAGCCCCAAGUCAUCUAUCGCUCUGCCAAGCCUAGAGCAUACAGGAAUUGCAAUAUGAACCAGCUUAAUGUUUAUUGGGCCAGUAAUAAGAAGGCUUGGGUCACGUCGGCACUGUGCACUGACUGGUUUGACAAUCAUUUUGUCCCUGAUGCCCAGAGUUAUUGGAAGAGGAAGAAUUUAGAUUUCAAGGUGCUGCUAUGUAUGGAUAAUGCUCCGGGGCAUGGUAAAUUCCUAAUAGGGCGUCAUCCUAAUGUAGAAGUUAUUUUCCUCCCGCCUAAUACAACAUCACUUUUACAGCCGCUUGAUAAAGAGUUCAUCUGCAACGUCAAGCUCUUUUAUUAUCAGUCUCUCUAUGAUGACAUGCGUGUCAAGACUGACUCGCUGCAAGAACUAGAGAGGAUUCAGGUUGAGCUAAGUGUACGUGACCAGGAUGAGCCCGAUGAACCGAUCGCCAGCACCAGUUUAGACCCACCACCAUCUCAGACCCGAGAAGUGUUAACUGUGAACCAGUUUUGGAAAAACUACAAUAUUAAGGAUGCUGUUGACUGCAUUGUGAAGGCCUGGCAGAAAAUAAACAAAGCUACAGUGUUACACUCUUGGAAGUUUUUGUUAGGUGAGGUCGGAACAGCUGUGCGUGAGCGCCAGCAGGAAGCCACCACACUCUCGCAGACUGUAGAAGCUGCACGUCUGAUCCCUGCACCUGGCUUUUCGGCUGUGGAGGCCAGUGACUUGCAAGAAAUUAUUGGUAUCCAUCAAGAGGAGGCUACUAUUGAGGAGAUGCUUGAGGAAGAUGAAGCUCAAGAAGAUCCUGAAGAGGAUGGACAGCAGGAGCAAAAUGUUCAGCCAGGCAAACCGACAACUGGGCAACUGACGGAGAUUCUCACCACCUUCUCACGGCUGACUGAACAACUGGAAGAAUAUGACAGGCGCCCAUAUCCACGCAGCAUAUUACAGCCAUCUCUUGAUCAAGUGAUGAACAUUUAUAAAGACCUCUACAUGUCUCCUGUUAAUGCUCGCCACCAGUCACUGAUCACAGGAUACUUCAGUCAAUCACAGGCUGUCAAUGCUCUGGCUAACGUAACAGCUGAACCAGGUGAAAAUGAAGAGGAUGUCGACGACCUGCUGGGCCUUUUACAGGAAGAUGACAUCGCUCUGGAUUUUGAUGGCUUUGAAGCUGAGGUUGCACUCAGUGCUGGGGGUGAUGCACAAACAGUGGAGGAGGGAGCAAGUAGCCAGUAGUCACGGCUCCCCACCACUACCACGCCAGGCCACUCAAGCCAGUCACAGACUCUCGUAACAUUUUUGAUGAGUAAAGCAGUCCCCCAAACUCUUUGUGUGAGUUACAGAAAAAAUCCACAGCAUGGCAGCAGCUGGACCAAGUAGCAACAGCAGCCACAGUGAGAGCAGCAAUAAUGCAUCAGGAGGUGCUGAG